UAGGGAAUAUUAGACAAUGGGGGCAACCCUGAUCCAGCCAUGCCGCGUGAGUGAAGAAGGCCCUCGGGUUGUAAAGCUCUUUUGUCCGGAAAGAAAAGCAUUCGGUGAAUACCCGGAUGUUCUGACGGUACCGGAAGAAUAAGCACCGGCUAACUUCGUGCCAGCAGCCGCGGUAAUACGAAGGGUGCAAGCGUUACUCGGAAUUACUGGGCGUAAAGCGUGCGUAGGUGGUUGUUUAAGUCUGAUGUGAAAGCCCUGGGCUCAACCUGGGAAUGGCAUUGGAAACUGGGCAGCUAGAGUGCGGUAGAGGGUAGUGGAAUUCCCGGUGUAGCAGUGAAAUGCGUAGAGAUCGGGAGGAACAUCUGUGGCGAAGGCGACUGCCUGGACCAGCACUGACACUGAGGCACGAAAGCGUGGGGAGCAAACA
rnacentral:rRNA from 1 species